UCGCGCAAACCCACCCACAACUAGAGGCUGUGCACGAUGCUGCGUUCACGUCGCGUCGGAAAAAAAGGAUUAAGACAUGUACGCUCAGAAUUCCGGCGAGCUUUUGAGCGGUUUUUAGAACGAGAAUUACACUUUAUCAUUCAUUGUUCAUUGUGUCGUGCGGCUGCCAGCUCUAGCUGGACUUCUAUUGUCCUCCGGGCUUUUUCUCUUUAAUUUCAAAGCCUGAAAGCUUGUUAGCAGUGUCACUGACAACAGAAAACAACAACUAAUGUCUCGAGAGAUACAAAAAAAAACCAACCUUUGAGACAAUCAAAACUUGUUUUGUUUUUUUUAAAACAACUUUAAUUUCAUUGCUUCGUAUUUGCCAUGCGCAAUUUGAACGGCCAACGGUUUCCUCGGAUUCCUUAGAGUCUUACCGAGGGACAUUUGAACGCACCGUGGAUAAUUCGACACAUGUGCUCUCAAAGUCGCUCGACCUGUAUCGUGUCCGUGUUCUGCGAAGAAAAAAACAACAAAAAAACCCCCGCUAAAAAACCCCAAAACGCUUCAAUUAGUUCAUAGUUAAAAGUGUCGUUUUGGCCGGAAGCCAGGCCCCGAGCCAGGCCAGGUGACGUCCUGCUACCGACUUCGUCUGCCACUCGUUCAAAAGUCUCCCAACUCCCUCGUUGUGUUCAACGUUGAGCAUCAUUUGUGUCAAAGCAGAAAUAGAUGAGGUUUUUGAAGAAGCGUCCGUCAGAAUAAAAAUAAAAAAACAAGGUGGGACACAAUUUACCAUGAUCAGUGGCUCUGUGCGGUCCAAGCGUCCCAGACAGACACCGUGUCUUGUGGAUCAACGUGCACACUACUGUACCGGCAGCCGAGCAGCGUCUGCACAUGGCAUUCAGCCAUCUGUGCUCCUCUGACAUGUCAGGAUCUCUGAGAGGGGGCCAAUGCAACACAACACAAACCCAGAAAGUCAUGUUGUUUUUACAGUUAUACACAGUUAAAGGAAAUGAGUCAUUUCUGCUUCCAGGGAAGCCGACGGGCCUUCGCCUUCUCAGAAACCGAGCCCUGGUCGCGUGUCCGCCUCCAGACAACGUUUGGAGCGCGACAUUUUGGAAUCAAACGAGCAGAACAGGGCCGCCGGUUAUAAUCCAUAGUUACGAGGAGCGGUUGCUAGGUGCGUUGCCGAGAUACAGACCCUUCUCUCCACUGGUGCUACGUAGGAGGCCACCGGGUCCUUGAUGAUGGCAGAGAGAUGAGGGACGGAUGAAAGGAUGACAAGAGACAGGACAAUGAGGGAACUAGCUGCAAGAGCUGUUCAGUCUAUUGCCUUUUGACAGUGGACUACUUCAUCUUGUAGAGAGAAACAUUUCAAUCUAAGUUGCUGAAUAUAACCUGGACUAAAAGGCCUGUGAAUGUUGGACUUGCAGCUGUGUGUGUCCAGAAAGACGUGACCGAUUUGGUGGUUUCUUCUAGACAUGUAUCGCGCAGCGCCGCGGCAGGAGGCAUGAACAUGGUUUAGAGUCCCGGCCACGUCGAAACCAGUGAAAAAGGAACGACAGCGACGCAGAUACGGAACUCUUUCAUGCGAUAUAACAACAACUGUUCUGACAGUGGCAGACAGUUUUGUGUACCACGUCACUCAUCCCUUGAAGCCAGCUGAGAUGUUUUGAUUUAGU